CCUACGGGUGGCAGCAGUAGGGAAUAUUGCUCAAUGGGGGAAACCCUGAAGCAGCAACGCCGCGUGGAGGAUGAAGGUUUUCGGUAUGUAAAGCUCUAUCAGCAGGGAAGAAAAUGACGGUACCUGACUAAGAAGCCCCGGCUAACUACGUGCCAGCAGCCGCGGUAAUACGUAGGGGGCAAGCGUUAUCCGGAUUUACUGGGUGUAAAGGGAGCGUAGACGGUGCAGCAAGUCUGAUGUGAAAGGUCGGGGCCCAACCCCGGGACUGCAUUGGAAACUGUUGAACUGGAGUACAGGAGAGGUAAGCGGAAUUCCUAGUGUAGCGGUGAAAUGCGUAGAUAUUAGGAGGAACACCAGUGGCGAAGGCGGCUUACUGGACUGUAACUGACGUUGAGGCUCGAAAGCGUGGGGAGCAAACAGGAUUAGAUACCCCAGUAGUC
rnacentral:rRNA from 1 species